rnacentral:rRNA from 1 species
UACGUAGGGGGCGAGCGUUGUCCGGAUUUAUUGGGCGUAAAGAGCUCGUAGGCGGUUUGGCAAGUCGGGUGUGAAAACUCCGGGCUCAACUCGGAGACGCCACUCGAUACUGCCAUGACUCGAGUCCGGUAGGGGAGUGCGGAAUUCCUGGUGUAGCGGUGAAAUGCGCAGAUAUCAGGAGGAACACCGGUGGCGAAGGCGGGUUGCUGGGCCAACACUGACGCUGAGGCGCGAAAGCCAGGGGAGCAAACGGG